AUGGCCGUCUGUCGGGGGUGCUUUGAAGGCGGUUCUCCUGCUUCUUGGCAGGAUGGGGAUGGGCUGGAUGGCCCACCAGGUCUCUCCCAACCCUGGGAUUCUAUAAUUCUAGGGGGCAAAGAAGGGGGCGAAUCUCUUCGAGGGCAUUUUUUGACGUCGGAAGGAGCUGUCCAGGGUCCCGAGUCUCUUUAUCUCUCUCCCUCUCUUCUGUUGACCUGGGGAGGGGCUUGGGAGCAGGGGAGGGGGCUGCAGGGGAGAGAAGGAGGUCAUUUCCCCUUCCUCUGCCCAGGCUCCGCCCCCUCCCCUCCCUCCCCUCCCCUCCCUUCUCUUCUCUUCCCUGCUGCCCCUCCCUCUUUUAGAGCCCGAGGGCGAGCCAGGCACGAGGGGACGCCCGACUCAGCGGCGGAGAAGGAGGAGAAGGAGAGGAAGAAGAGGAGGAAGAAGAGGAAGAGGAGGCGAGGGAGAAACAGCAGAAGCCCCCGCCCAGCCCAUCCCAGUCCAUCCCAGUCCAUCUCCGCCUUCACGCCUCGUUGGGAAGGAAGUGAACAUGGAAAGGACCCUCGUCUUCCUUUGGUCCCUGCUGGUCCCAGUGAUGCUGGCGGAUGUUGCCGACCAAGAAAAGGAGAAGGACCCCUUCAACUAUGGUGAGCCACACUGUCCUCCAGAGGGAAGGGUGUGGGGUGCUGGGCUUGCAGGGCUCUCUGCCACCUUCAUCCCUCACCCUUCUCUCUCUCAGACUACCAGGAC
rnacentral:lncRNA from 1 species